rnacentral:rRNA from 1 species
ACGGGAGGCAGCAGUGGGGAAUAUUGGGCAAUGGGCGAAAGCCUGACCCAGCAACGCCGCGUGAAGGAAGAAGGUUUUCGGAUUGUAAACUUCUUUUAUCAGGGACGAAGGAAGUGACGGUACCUGAUGAAUAAGCCACGGCUAACUACGUGCCAGCAGCCGCGGUAAUACGUAGGUGGCAAGCGUUAUCCGGAUUUACUGGGUGUAAAGGGCGCGUAGGCGGGGAUGCAAGUCAGAUGUGAAAUACAUGGGCUUAACCCAUGAACUGCAUUUGAAACUGUAUCUCUUGAGUGUCGGAGAGGUAGGCGGAAUUCCUAGUGUAGCGGUGAAGUGCGUAGAUAUUAGGAGUAACACCAGUGGCGAAGGCGGUCUACUGGACGAUAACUGACGCUGAGGCGCGAAAGCGUGGGGAGCAAACAGGAUUAGAUACCCUGGUA